AUUGAACGCUGGCGGCAUGCUUUACACAUGCAAGUCGAACGGUAACAGGCCGCAAGGUGCUGACGAGUGGCGAACGGGUGAGUAAUGCAUCGGAACGUGCCCAGUCGUGGGGGAUAACGCAGCGAAAGCUGCGCUAAUACCGCAUACGAUCUCUGGAUGAAAGCGGGGGACCGAAAGGCCUCGCGCGAUUGGAGCGGCCGAUGUCAGAUUAGGUAGUUGGUGGGGUGAAGGCCCACCAAGCCGACGAUCUGUAGCUGGUCUGAGAGGACGACCAGCCACACUGGGACUGAGACACGGCCCAGACUCCUACGGGAGGCAGCAGUGGGGAAUUUUGGACAAUGGGCGCAAGCCUGAUCCAGCAAUGCCGCGUGCAGGAAGAAGGCCUUCGGGUUGUAAACUGCUUUUGUACGGAACGAAAAGACUCUGGUUAAUACCUGGGGUCCAUGACGGUACCGUAAGAAUAAGCACCGGCUAACUACGUGCCAGCCGCCGCGGUAAGAC
rnacentral:rRNA from 1 species